rnacentral:rRNA from 1 species
AGAGUUUGAUCCUGGCUCAGAACGAACGCUGGCGGCAGGCCUAACACAUGCAAGUCGAACGCCCCGCAAGGGGAGUGGCAGACGGGUGAGUAACGCGUGGGAACGUGCCUUUCGGUUCGGAAUAGGCCGGGGAAACCCGGGUUAAUACCGGAUACGUCCUUCGGGAGAAAGAUUUAUUGCCGAGAGAUCGGCCCGCGUCUGAUUAGCUAGUUGGCGGGGUAAUGGCCCACCAAGGCGACGAUCAGUAGCUGGUCUGAGAGGAUGAUCAGCCACACUGGGACUGAGACACGGCCCAGACUCCUACGGGAGGCAGCAGUGGGGAAUAUUGGACAGUGGGCGCAAGCCUGAUCCAGCCAUGCCGCGUGAGUGAUGAAGGCCCUAGGGUUGUAAAGCUCUUUUACCCGGGAUGAUAAUGACAGUACCGGGAGAAUAAGCUCCGGCUAACUCCGUGCCAGCAGCCGCGGUAAUAC